rnacentral:rRNA from 1 species
AUUGAACGCUGGCGGCAUGCCUUACACAUGCAAGUCGAACGGCAGCACGGGAGCAAUCCUGGUGGCGAGUGGCGAACGGGUGAGUAAUGUAUCGGAACGUGCCCAGGCGUGGGGGAUAACGUAGCGAAAGCUACGCUAAUACCGCCUACGAUCUAUGGAUGAAAGCGGGGGAUCGCAAGACCUCGCGCGAUUGGAGCGGCCGCGAUCAGAUUAGGUAGUUGGUGGGGUAAAGGCCCACCAAGCCUGCGAUCUGUAGCUGGUCUGAGAGGACGACCAGCCACACUGGAACUGAGACACGGUCCAGACUCCUACGGGAGGCAGCAGUGGGGAAUUUUGGACAAUGGGCGCAAGCCUGAUCCAGCAAUGCCGCGUGCAGGAUGAAGGCCUUCGGGUUGUAAACUGCUUUUGUACGGAACGAAACGGCUUUUUCUAAUACAGAGAGCUAAUGACGGUACCGUAAGAAUAAGCACCGGCUAACUACGUGCCAGCAGCCGCGGUAA